GUGCACCAGGCGAGAAACCUCCGCAAUACACGAAAGUGUGACGGGGUUACCCAAAGUGUCCAAAUUUGGACUGUGGUAGGUGAGUAAUGUCCCCUACUAGAAAGGAGAGGGCAAGGCUGGUGCCAGCCGCCGCGGUAAAACCAGCUCUUCAAGUGGUCGGGAUAAUUAUUGGGCUUAAAGUGUCCGUAGCCGGUUUAGUAAGUUCCUGGUAAAAUCGGGUAGCUUAACUAUCUGUAUGCUAGGAAUACUGCUAUACUAGAGGGCGGGAGAGGUCUGAGGUACUACAGGGGUAGGGGUGAAAUCCUGUAAUCCUUGUAGGACCACCAGUGGCGAAGGCGUCAGACUGGAACGCGCCUGACGGUGAGGGACGAAAGCCAGGGGAGCGAACCGGAUUAGAUACCCCCGUAGU
rnacentral:rRNA from 1 species